rnacentral:rRNA from 1 species
GAUGAACGCUGGCGGCGUGCCUAAUACAUGCAAGUCGAGCGAACAGACGAGGAGCUUGCUCCUCUGACGUUAGCGGCGGACGGGUGAGUAACACGUGGAUAACCUACCUAUAAGACUGGGAUAACUUCGGGAAACCGGAGCUAAUACCGGAUAAUAUAUUGAACCGCAUGGUUCAAUAGUGAAAGACGGUUUUGCUGUCACUUAUAGAUGGAUCCGCGCCGCAUUAGCUAGUUGGUAAGGUAACGGCUUACCAAGGCAACGAUGCGUAGCCGACCUGAGAGGGUGAUCGGCCACACUGGAACUGAGACACGGUCCAGACUCCUACGGGAGGCAGCAGUAGGGAAUCUUCCGCAAAGGGCGAAAGCCUGACGGAGCAACGCCGCGUGAGUGAUGAAGGUCUUCGGAUCGUAAAACUCUGUUUUUAGGGAAGAACAAAUGUGUAAGUAACUAUGCACGUCUUGACGGUACCUAAUCAGAAAGCCACGGCUAACUACGUG